rnacentral:rRNA from 1 species
UGGGGAAUUUUGGACAAUGGGCGAAAGCCUGAUCCAGCAAUGCCGCGUGUGUGAAGAAGGCCUUCGGGUUGUAAAGCACUUUUGUCCGGAAAGAAAUCCUUGGCUCUAAUACAGUCGGGGGAUGACGGUACCGGAAGAAUAAGCACCGGCUAACUACGUGCCAGCAGCCGCGGUAAUACGUAGGGUGCAAGCGUUAAUCGGAAUUACUGGGCGUAAAGCGUGCGCAGGCGGUUUGCUAAGACCGAUGUGAAAUCCCCGGGCUCAACCUGGGAACUGCAUUGGUGACUGGCAGGCUAGAGUAUGGCAGAGGGGGGUUAGAAUUCCACGUGUAGCAGUGAAAUGCGUAGAGAUGUGGAGGAAUACCGAUGGCGAAGGCAGCCCCUGGGCAAUACUGACGCUCAUGCACGAAAGCGUGGGGAGCAAACAGAUUAGAUACCCUGGUAGUCCACGCCCUAAACGAUGUCAACUAGUUGUUGGGGAUUCAUUCCUUAGUAACGUAGCUAACGCGUGAAGUUGACCGCCUGGGGAGUACGGUCGCAAGAUUAAAACUCAAAGGAAUUGACGGGGUCAUAGCUGUUUCCU